GUAUAUGGGCGUGAACAAAAGGAGAUCGUUUGCCGCGUGCAUUUUCUAGCUGUUUUUUGCGGCAGAGAUCUCGUACUACGUUUCUCAUGUGUUGUUGUUAGCUAACCCACGUUAAUUUAACAUGGAGGCGUUUAAUCAGCUCCUGUUUGGAUAUCCGGAGUUAAUGUACACUGGAAUGGGAGUCACGGCGUUCGUCACCGGAGGAGCUCUGAUCUACAGGAUUGCCACCAGAAAGAAGCCGGUCCAUGCAAAUGUGAAUUGUUGGUUCUGCAAUGAGAACACAGUGGUGCCCUAUGGAAACCGGAACUGUUGGGACUGUCCAAAUUGUGACCAGUACAAUGGCUUCCAGAGUAAUGGGGAUUACAACAAACCCAUCCCGGCACAAUUCAACGAGCAUCUGAACCAUGGAGUAUGUGGCAGCCUUCCCUCACAUGUUACACCUAAGAUUCAGCAGUGGGUCAACUGUCAGAUGCUGCUGUGCAGGAAGUGCAACAACAACCAGACAAUAAAGAUCAAGCAACUGGCUUCAUUUAUCCCAAGGGAUGAGGAGAACUAUGAUGAGGAGAUUGAAGCCUACAAACACCACCUGGAGCAGACCUAUAAGUUAUGCAGGCCUUGUCAGACAGCUGUGGAGUAUUACAUAAAAUACCAGAACCGACAACUUCGUACUUCGCUCCUCAGCCAUCAGCUCAGACGCACAAGAGAUUCAGACAAUGGCUUCAUCAAGAGCUCCUAUUCUGUGUCCUCUCCCCUCGGAGUCAUACUGCUUCGGGCCUUUGCCUUCCUUAUAUGUGCAUUCCUACUGGCUAUAUCUCUCUACCCAUCCGCAGACCAGUCAACCUCCUCAGUUGACCCACAGACAUUAAGUGGUGGUGUAAUUCCCCCAAAGCCCAAACCAUCUAACAAGUCCAUCACAAACAAUGAAACGAGUGGAGUCAUGCCUGUGUGGGAGAGUGUGAAGGAGCUCCUCCCAAACAGGACCAUAGAGAGUGCCAAGCUGGUGUGGCAGCACGGAAGAGACAACCAGCUGGCUGUUGUCUCUGUCGGCCUGUUGACCUGUCUCACUGCUAUCUUCUUAGCUGGACCCUCAAGGCUGAGGAGAAUCGAUGCUACGGCCUCGGUCCUCUGGUUCCUCAUGCUGCUCCUCUACAUGGCCGAGAGUUACGUGACUGGUGUCUUAGACUGGAUGGACACGGCAAAGCUCAGUAUCAUUUCCGUCUGUUGCUUCGUCAGCUUUGCUGCUGCAGUGGCAACCCGCAGACCACUGGGUCCAAGAAAAGCCAGAUAUGGAAGGUAUCUCCCAGGCAGCUCUGCAGCCCCCAUAACAGGCCAACCUCCUUUGUUCUCUAAUGGCCAGGCAGACGCCUUUAUCCCCAGCCUGCCCCCCAAUAUCUCCAUGCUCAUCAACCGCCAACAGACUCCCCGUGAUCGCAAGGCUUCCCCCUCCUCUCUGCCCGGCCGCCUCAACAGAGCCCUCUGCCUGGGCACCAUCCGCUCCCUCACCAGGACAGAUUCUGGUUACUUGUUUAGUGGAAGCAGACCUACAUCUCAGUGCCAGGACUCCCCACCCUCAGGUGUGGAGACGCUCAGCCAGGGGUUGCAGCUGUGAGCCAGGUUUCCACAAUAGCUCUUUUUAUGGGGGAGAAAAGCAAGACAUGUACCACUGCCACGUGUCACUAAUGGUACGGACACAGCGGUUGAGAGGGUUUGACGGGACAUUACCUCAUCUUGAGAUACAAAGCUGACAGACUGGUGCACAGUUAAUACAGAGGGAUUUCCCAGUCUGGCAAAGCUGGCAUGCCGGUUUCUCCCACCGGAAAGGGGAUGUUCUAAAAGAUCGAUUUCCAGAUUAUUUCUCACUGAAGUCAGGGAGUCGUCCAUCAUCACCAGGCCCCUCCCCAACUCCUUCCAUAGCUGGGUCAGUCACAUCCAGUUCAAGCUCUGCCAGACAAAGACGCCCCCUCAUCAGCCCUGCUCGCCUCAACAUCAGCGGCCAGAGUCUGCACCUUUUCUCCACCGAGCCAGAACCCUUGCCAAUGUCUCCCCCUGCUUCUCCACCCCCUGCUUCUUCACUCUACCAAAGGCAAAAUGAUAUGACUUCAAUGUUUUGGGUUAGUGGUAUGGUGGAAGAGAAAGUCAGGCAAGACAGCUCCUCAGAGUCCUCUGUGUGCGGGGUUGGCACUACGACACCAGAGAGCAGUUCUGAUGAGAAAGGUAUCAUGGAGCGUCUCCUCUGGCCUGGGCUUUUGGUUGUGAGCCUGACCUCCAACAUGUUCUUCGCCGGCCUCUACAUGUACCACAACUGGAGAUGAACCGUUGCUGUGUCUGCUACUGAUCUCUUAUGACUGCACAGCGCAGGCCUGUAUUAGGCUUCGGGUGACCCUGUUGUCUCUCUGGACCUGGAGGACAAUCAGCAUUGCCAGAAAACAUUCUGGUGGUUAGUUUUUGUUUGCUUGGGCUCCGUGAAAGUACAGAUGUCGGCUGAAAGAUUCAAUAGACUCAAAGAAUUUAAAGGAUCUAAUUCAAAGCUACCAUGUAAGUCACAAAAAGAACUGUCAGGGAAAUCAACUUUUGAGUGUGUUGUUAUGGAUCGCUUCAGAAUAUGUUAGCUGUUGUGAUGUUUUUUCUUUGGUUUGUCACUGCUGCUCUUACAUGAACACAGGUGCAUGUAUAAAUGAUUUAAAAGGCUCAAGUCUGGCACUGAUGCUCAUUGACUUUUUAAAGGUACUCUGUUAAAUGUGCAACUAACACGUACUGUUGAGUCAAUGCUGCUCCUACACACAGGGUCACGUCUAACCUACUGAUACUGAUUGUGAUGGGUGCAAUACUACUUCUCACUGAAUGAUGUUUUUGGUUAUUCCCAGUAUGUCAUGUCUGCGCUUUAUUAUGAUGGAUCUGCUUUUUGACAUUUUUGUUUCUUCAUUGUUAUAGACUUUUAUUUUCUUUGUUUUCAGCAGAGAAGAAGUGUUGUUAAGUUAUUUUGUUGUACAGUUAAUAUACAAUAUUUUUUAUAUUUAGGUCUUCUUUUUUAUAUCAUACCAGAGUGACACAUGUCACGUCAAACACUAAAAUAGGUCUCUUUCACAACGCUGUCUAAGUUUGUAAUGUUGCUCACGGCUAGUUUGUUAGGGGCAAAACUCCUCAGCUCAAGAGUGGUGUAAAAAAAAAAGAAGAAUUUGUGAAACUAAUGUAAGCAUUCAGUUUCUGAGAAGAGACACUUUCUAUUAAAAGUGUCAAAAUGAGGGAACAGCCUAAUGAUAGUUUUGAAAUCUAUCAUCAGACAACUUCAUAAUGAAGAGUGGCUUUUGAAAACCGAUGUAAUUGUCAAUCUAUAAAAAGAAAUCAUGUUCAUGCAUGAGGUUUAAAAAGAGAGGCAGAGCUUCAGAAGGAGGUUUGUCCCCUUACUGAGCUGUGAGCUGUUUCAUACGACUGAGAAUCUGAUGAUUUUGCACUGUUCAGAUUUUGUGUGUUUGUGUGUUGUGUUUUGAAUAUUUGAAUUUUGAUAUUGAAGGUGUAUAAACUGUUUACAGUUGAUUGGUUGGGUUUGAUGUCUAUGUAUAAGAGUCACCAGACUGAGUAGAAAAAGAGAGGGGAAGCUGCAGGAGGUGAAUUGCAGUUUGCCAAAGUUCCAAAAGAUGGCGCUCCAGAAGGAAUUUUGUACCUUAAUGGUUUUUAACAAUACGAACAAUACAAAAACAUUUAAGAAAAAUAACUUUGAGUCAAGAUGAAACAUGUUUCUUACAAUCACACAGACCAAGCUGCAUCAGCACACAUUCAUCAUCAGAGGAACCAUUCUUCUUGGAAGGUUGUCAAAAGAGGGUUUAAAUCUCUCGUCGGACAAUCUUUAAUUUACUUUUUUAAGUAGCACAUUUUACCUUCCCGAGUGAAUGUUAUUUUAGAAUUCCAUUGAUUUAUUCAAUAUGGCUCAAAACAACUAUCAAAUGAAAUUUCACUUCAUUAACCAAAAUCUAAGUUUAUCAUGAAGGGUCUCAGACAAAUGGAUACCUAAGAGAUAAAUUAUAGCAAAUAAGAAAUGAUAAUUCUGCCAACAAUCAAGUUCAUGGUCAUUCAAGAAAGUGAAACAAACAUCCAAAAUUCAAAGUACAGAUCACUUAAAUGUGCAACUGUCGCAUAGAAUACUUAAUAAAUUGUGCAUGUGCAA